GCUCAACAUCUGUCUACCUUUAAAAUAAAGUUUACUAUUGUCUGUCUGUCUGUCCCUAUGUGGGCUGUGAUAUUGCUUGUGAGGGUGCAGGGAUGUGCCUGUCACUAUUCAUGUAUGGUCAGAGAGCAACUUUUGGGACUCGUUUAUUGCCUUGUACUUUGUUGAAGCAAGGUCUUUUGUUUCUGCAGUGUUGUAUGCAGCAGGCGGCUUAUAUUGCAGCAGCUUCUGGCUGAGUCUCCAGUUCCCAACUCCCUGCAGAGGCACGGGGACUCAUGCACAACUGCUUCUGGUUUUCUAUACAGAUUCUCUCAGGGAAUCUGAAGUAUUGGCUACAGACCCAGGCUUGCCUGCCACUUCAAGGUGCAGAGUGGUGAGUGCCACUACAAAGAAUAACUAUGUGAUGGAGAGCCUUUAUAAGCUGGCCCUGAGAAGUGUCCAGUGUGUAGCUUCCACUUGUGCAGCCGGAGCUGUCACCCUGGUCCGAUCAGUCUUGGAGUGUGCAUUCAAUAAACC
rnacentral:lncRNA from 1 species